rnacentral:hammerhead_ribozyme from 1 species
ACCCAGCUGACGAGUCCCAGAUAGGACGAAACGCACGUUCUGGAU